UACGGGGGGGGCAAGCGUUGUUCGGAAUUACUGGGCGUAAAGGGCUCGUAGGCGGCCAUCUAAGUCGGACGUGAAAUCCCUCGGCUUAACCGGGGAACUGCGUCCGAUACUGGAGGGCUUGAGUGUGGGAGAGGGAUGCGGAAUUCCAGGUGUAGCGGUGAAAUGCGUAGAUAUCUGGAGGAACACCGGUGGCGAAGGCGGCAUCCUGGACCAUGACUGAC
rnacentral:rRNA from 1 species